AAACAGCUUGCGAGCAGAACCUCCUGAGGUGUAUUUCCGGUCGUGCUGGGGCUGAGAGAGACCACAGCCCUUUGGGGGAUACAAGCAAGAGUUAAGUUGCUGUGAAUUCUGCCACCGUGCCCAGCUCUGAAGCCUCAGCUCUUGCCAAACAGACCCAUGUCAGCCCCGCUGGAUGCCGCCCUCCGCGCCCUUCAGGAGGAGCAGGCCAGACUCCAGAUGAGGCUGCAGGAGCUGCAGCAGCUGAGAAAGGAGCUCGGGGACUCCCCCAAAGACAAGGUCCCAUUUUCAGUGCCCAAGAUCCCCCUGGUAUUCCGAGGACACACCCAGCAGGACCCGGAAGUGCCUAAGUCUUUAGUUUCCAAUUUGCGGAUCCACUGCCCUCUGCUUGCGGGCUCUGCUCUGAUCACCUUUGAUGACCCCAAAGGUGAGCUCAUAGGGAGCCUCAGGAGGGAGGUGGGGAGGAUUCCUAGUACUGACCCUGUUUCCCACCACCCAGUGGCUGAGCAGGUGCUGCAACAAAAGGAGCACACGAUCAACAUGGAGGAGUGCCGGCUGCGGGUGCAGGUCCAGCCCUUGGAGCUGCCCAUGGUCACCACCAUCCAGGUGAUGGAAUUACAGAAUCCUGGGGCAUGCAAAGCAUGCCAUACACCUGGGCAUGGGGAAGUGGAGCUGUGUCUGGGACCACCCCUUGCUGUCUCCCCCUAGGUGUCCAGCCAGUUGAGUGGCCAGAGGGUGUUGGUCACUGGAUUUCCUGCUAGCCUCAGGCUGAGUGAGGAGGAGCUGCUGGACAAGCUAGAGAUCUUCUUUGGCAA
rnacentral:sRNA from 1 species